UACGGAAGAUGCAGGCGUUAUCCGGAUUCAUUGGGUUUAAAGGGUGCGUAGGCGGGUUAUUAAGUCUGCGGUCAAAUGUCAGCGCCCAACGCUGGCCUGCCGUGGAAACUGGUGACCUUGAAUGCGGACGAGGCAGAUGGAAUUCGUGGUGUAGCGGUGAAAUGCUUAGAUAUCACGAGGAACUCCGAUUGCGAAGGCAGUCUGCCAGGCCGUGAUUGACGCUGAGGCACGAAGGUGCGGGUAUC
rnacentral:rRNA from 1 species